rnacentral:rRNA from 1 species
GUGCCAGCAGCCGCGGUAAGACAGAGGGUGCAAACGUUGUUCGGAAUUACUGGGCGUAAAGCGCGUGUAGGCGGCAAUACAAGUCGGAUGUGAAAUCCCGCGGCUUAACCGUGGAAGUGCACCCGAAACUGUAUCGCUAGAGUCCCGGAGAGGAUGGUGGAAUACUUGGUGUAGAGGUGAAAUUCGUAGAUAUCAAGUGGAACACCGGUGGCGAAGGCGGCCAUCUGGACGGUGACUGACGCUGAGACGCGAAAGCGUGGGUAGCAAACAGGAUUAGAAACCCUCGUAGUCC